rnacentral:rRNA from 1 species
GAUGAACGCUGGCGGCGUGCCUAAUACAUGCAAGUCGAGCGAAUGGAUUGAGAGCUUGCUCUUAUGAAGUUAGCGGCGGACGGGUGAGUAACACGUGGGUAACCUGCCCAUAAGACUGGGAUAACUCCGGGAAACCGGGGCUAAUACCGGAUAACAUUUUGAACCGCAUGGUUCGAAAUUGAAAGGAGGCUUCGGCUGUCACUUAUGGAUGGAACCGCGUCGCAUUAGCUAGGUGGUGAGGUAACGGCUCACCAAGGCAACGAUGCGUAGCCGACCUGCGAGGGUGAUCGGCCACACUGGGACUGAGACACGGCCCAGACUCCUACGGGAGGCAGCAGUAGGGAAUCUUCCGCAAUGGACGAAAGUCUGACGGAGCAACGCCGCGUGAGUGAUGAAGGCUUUCGGGUCGUAAAACUCUGUUGUUAGGGAAGAACAAGUGCUAGUUGAAUAAGCUGGCACCUUGACGGUACCUAACCAGAAAGCCACGGCUAACUACGUGCCAGCCGCCGCGGUAA